UGCCGUGGACGACCUCGGCAUGCAUGACCACGUGGCGGGACGACCCGC
rfam:Burkholderia phymatum STM815 chromosome 2, complete sequence.